rnacentral:lncRNA from 1 species
CCCUUCCAGAGUAAAGCUGACCUUCACUUAUUUCUGGGCCAUAUAGAAAGCUGGUCUAGGCUUAAUCCUGAAACUCUUGAAGAAUAAAUGUAGACAUCUGCAGCACAGCAGAUUGGAGCCUUGGCAGGUCUUCUGCCCUCAACAAAAUAAGAAUUUCCUUUUUGUCAUUUAA